rnacentral:rRNA from 1 species
CCUACGGGUGGCAGCAGUGAGGAAUAUUGGUCAAUGGACGCGAGUCUGAACCAGCUAUGUCGCGUGAAGGAUGACUGCCCUCUGGGUUGUAAACUUCUUUUAUAUGGGAAUAAAAUGUUCCACGUGUGAGAUUUUGUAUGUACCAUAUGAAUAAGGAUCGGCUAACUCCGUGCCAGCAGCCGCGGUAAUACGGAGGAUCCGAGCGUUAUCCGGAUUUAUUGGGUUUAAAGGGAGCGUAGGUGGAUUGUUAAGUCAGUUGUGAAAGUUUGCGGCUCAACCGUAAAACUGCAGUUGAAACUGGUAGUCUUGAGUACAGUAGAGGUGGGCGGAAUUCGAGGUGUAGCGGUGAAAUGCUUAGAUAUGACGAAGAACUCCGAUGGCGAAGGCAGCUCCCUGGACUGCAACUGACGCUGAGGCUCGAAAGUGUGGGUAUCAAACAGGAUUAGAUACCCUUGUAGUC